CUUUUGGUGUUUCUAGCGGCGGACGGGUGAGUAACGCGUGAGCAAUCUGUCUCAGACAGGGGGAUAACGCAGCGAAAGUUGCACUAAUACCGCAUAAGACCACAGAGCCACAUGGCAUAGGGGUCAAAGGAGCAAUCCGGUCUGAGGUGAGCUCGCGUCCCAUUAGGUAGUUGGUGAGAUAACGGCCCACCAAGCCUGCGAUGGGUAGCCGACCUGAGAGGGUGAUCGGCCACACUGGAACUGAGACACGGUCCAGACUCC
rnacentral:rRNA from 1 species